GGAGCGUCCUGCGCUGGAGCCGCUGCACCUGCAACUAAUCACCUCACCGGGUGCCGCUAAUCACCCGCCUUCUUGGCAGACCUAUGAAAUCGGGAGGGAGAAGGAGCCAGAAGAUAGGACGAUUGUGUGGGAAGUCACUGAUUCACACCACUUGGCCACGAGCACCGCUGGGGAAGCUGGGAGAAGUCGCUCGCUUGGAACACUGCUUUUGGAUUAUUGCACUGGACUGUUGUUCAUGUUUUUCUCACUCUCCCAAAUGAACAGUGGCCAUAUGGAUGUCCUCUUCUUCC